rnacentral:rRNA from 1 species
GAGUUUGAUCCUGGCUCAGAAUAAACGCUGGCGGCGUGCCUAGCACAUGCAAGUCGAGCGAGAAAGUUCCUUCGGGAACUAGUAAAGCGGCGAACGGUUGAGUAACACGUGAGAAUCUACCCUUCAGUGAGGAAUACCACCGAGAAAUCGGUGUUAAUACUGCAUACGUCCCUUCGGGGAGAAAGGUGGCUUUAAUGCUGCCGCUGAUGGAUGAGCUUGCGAGCUAUCAGUUAGUUGGUGAGGUAAUGGCUCACCAAGGCUAUGACGGCUAUCCGGCCUGAGAGGGUGUACGGACAGACUGGGACUUAGACACGGCCCAGACUCCUACGGAGGCAGCAGUGGGGAAUAUUGCGCAAUAGGGCGAAAGCCUGACGCAGCGACGCCGCGUGAAGGAUGAAGGUCUUCGGAUUGUAAACUUCUGUUAAGUGGGAAGAAAGAUGCAUUUUUAAUAGAAAUGU